CAACCUUCAGCAACGGAUCUCUUGGCUCUCGCAUCGAUGAAGAACGCAGCGAAAUGCGAUAAGUAAUGUGAAUUGCAGAAUUCAGUGAAUCAUCGAAUCUUUGAACGCACCUUGCGCUCCUUGGUAUUCCGAGGAGCAUGCCUGUUUGAGUGUCAUUA
rnacentral:rRNA from 2 species